rnacentral:lncRNA from 1 species
GGCUUCUCAAGUUGGAUGAGCAUCAAGAUCACCUGCAGAAGUCUUUUAAAAUUUGACAGUCUAUGCAUAGCCCUAGAUCUGCUAAAUGAAUUCCAGGAUCUCCAUGAAACCCAGCAUCCAUGCAAACAUGAUGAGAACUGACUUAAACCCUUAGCAGCUAAUAAGCUAGCUACUAAUUAUUGUCUUUACAAAUUUAACAAAUACAGGCGGGAGUAUUUAGGAAGAUUUCCAGAACAGAGGAAAGAGAUACAGAUAGAAAUGUAGAAAGAAAAGGUUAUAUUUCUGGUAGCAUUUUUUAAGAACAAUCUCUGACCUUUGUAUUUAUCUUUGUAUAUAACUUUAGAUUCUGUACUGUAAAAAAUUAGCACCUUAUGUCUUUUUUGCCCCUAUGCUAUGGAUUUUCAAAUAUGGGAGAAUUAGAAAAUGCUAUGAAUUAUCAUUUCUAUUAUUCCUUGUAGUCUUUUAUCUUUGGUGAGAACAAUUCUCUAGAUACUGCAGAGAUUUUAUAGCUUGUCACGGUUUCUACUAUAUUAAGAAUCAAGUCUAACAAAAUCAGAAUAGAUGCUAAGCCUGGAAACCCACAGGAAACAUGUUAUUCUUCAGUGUUUGCAAAGCACUGAUCAAAAACGUCUCUUCUCUCAAUCUCGCUUUCUUCUUUUCAUUUACUAACUAGGCUUUUGAGCCUCACAAGACUUUGAGAUUUUAUGGAUAUGAAACCUGCUAUCGUUUAGCUUCCUGCCUCUGGGAAUAGUACAGACCGGGUUCCACCAUGUUGGACGGGCUGGUCUUGAACUCCUGACCUCAGGUGAUCCACCCGCCUUGACCUCCGAAAGUGCUGGGAUUACAGGUGUGAGCCACCAUGCCAAGCCUAUCUACUAUUUUAUCUGACAUGCCUCUUCCCCUUCUGCCAUGACUUUACGUUUCCUGAGUCCUCCCCAGCCAUGCAGAACUACAUGGAUUCUCACUGUGACACCCAGGCUGGAGUGCAGUGGUAUGAUCAUAGGUGACUACAGUCUCGAAUUCCUGGGCUCAAGCAAGCCUUUCACCUCAGCCUCCCCAGAAGCUGGGAUUACAGGCUCAGUUUCAGACCGGAAUCUAUACCAUCAACUCCCCAGCCAUCGAGCCUUUGAACUGUUCCAUUGACUUUUCUGGGUUUCUAGCCUGAAGAUGGCUGAUUGUGGGACUUCUCACCCUCCAUAGUCAAGUGAGUCAAUACCUUAUGAUAAAUCUCCUUAUAUAUACACAUUUGACCCUUCAACAAUAUGGAUUUGAACUGAAUGAAUGAAUAUACAUGCACAGAUUUUUUUUUUCAACAAAUAUAUUGGAAAAAUUUUGGAGAUUUGUGACAAUUUGAAAAAACUCACAGAUGAGCUGUGGAGUCUAGAAAUCUCAAGAGACUUAAGAAAAAGUUAGGCCGGGCGCGGUGGCUCAAGCCUGUAAUCCCAGCACUUUGGGAGGCCGAGACGGGCGGAUCACGAGGUCAGGAGAUCGAGACCAUCCUGGCUAACAUGGUGAAACCCCGUCUCUACUAAAAAUACAAAAAACUAGCCGGGCGAGGUGGCGGGCGCCUGUAGUCCCAGCUACUCGGGAGGCUGAGGCAGGAGAAUGGCGGGAACCCGGGAGGCGGAGCUUGCAGUGAGCUGAGACCCCGCCAAAACAACCAAACCCGGGGAAAAAAAGAGAACCCCCGACAAAAAAAAAAAAAAAAAAAAAAAAAAAAGAAAAAGUUAAGUAUGUCAUGAAUACAUAAAAUAUAUGUAGAUAUUUGUCUGUUUUAUCAUUGACUACCAUAAAAUAUACAUAAAUCCAUUAUUUAAACAUUACCCCACAAACACAGACCAUACACAGUGACAUUCAGUCAAGAGUAAACAAAUGUAAAGAUGCAGUAUUAAAUCAUAACUGCAUAAAUUAGCUAUAGUAAAUACUAUAUUACUGUAAUAAUUUCACAGCCACCUCCUGUUGCUAUUACCCUGAGCUCAAGUGUUGGGAGUAUUUGCUUAAAAUGCCCUGUGAUGCUAAACUCUUCUGCCAAGCAGUUCGUCUGUUCAGUAAAUUGCAUGUCAUAGUAAAAAGUCAUCUCUCAUGGCUAUUGCUUGUUUUUCAUCAUGUUUAGUGUAAUACCAUAAACCUUAAAUAACACCAUGGGACUCAUAUUAAGUGCCACUAGUGUUGCUGGAAGUGCUCCCAAGAAGCAGAGAAAAUGACAUUAAAAACAAGUUGAAUUACUUGAUAUGCACCCUAGAUUGGUCUGCAGCUGCAGUUUCCCACCAUUUUAGACAAUUCAUCUUGUAAUCAAAUUACAUAAACUUAGAUAUAAAUAAAUACAGUACAGCAUUGUACAUGUAUUUUCUCUUCCUUAUGACUUUCUUAAUAUUUUUUCUCUAUCUUAAUGUAAAAAGACAGUAUACAAUACAUAUAACAUAUAAAAUAUGUGUUCUUCAACCAUGUUAUCAGUAAGACUUCUGGAUAAUACUAGGCCAUUAGUAGUUACAUUUUGGGGGAGUCAAGUUAUACAAAGAUGUUUGCCUAUUUGGGGGGUGAGCUCUGGGAUUAAGGGGUAAGGUGGGUUGGUGCCCCUAACCUCAACUUUUUCAGGAGUCAGCUCAACAAAGUUUACAGAAUUAGAAGUGCUAAAAUUAUAUUAUUAGUCCUACUUUCAUUAUUAUAUUUUAUUUUGUCAUCAAUAACACUAGCAUUCAUUCAAACCCUAAAAGGUUUCUAAAUAAUUGUUUAUCUAGAGCCACAACUGAGAAUAAUGCCUUAGCAUUUUACUUCUUUAUAUCUCCCUUCUCAUAAUUGUGUUUUUUCUUCCCUUUACUUCUGUACUAGUAUUUCUUAUACUCACUCACCGUUCAUAUUUUAAAAGAUACUUUUAUAACUGUAAUUAAUGUCUAUGACUUCUUGGUAUAUAAGUAGUAAGAAAAUUAAAUGUUGUUUACUUUAGUCAUUCACAAUCAAAUUGCUUAAAACUAAUAAGAAAACAAUGGAAAAACUGGGAUGACCAUCUAAAUUAAGCCUCCAAGUCUCCUGAAGGAGUCAUGAGGAAACAUGUACAUACAUUUAAAAACCAAUUUUUAACGUUUAGGAAAUGAAAGUUCCGGUCGGGUGUGGUGGCUCAUGCCUGUAAUCCCAGCACUCUGGGAGGCCGAGGCGGGUGGAUCAUGAGUUCAGGAGUUCAGGAGUUCACCUGGCCAACAUGGUGAAACCCUGUCUCUACUGAAAAUACAAAAAUUAGCCCGGUGUGGUGGCAUGUGCGUGUAGUCCCAGCUACUCGGGAGGCUGAUGUGGGAGAAUUGCUUGAACCCAGGAGGCAAAGGUUGCAGUGAGCCAAGACCAUGCCAUUGCACACCAGCCUGGGUGACAGAGUAAGACUGUCUCGAAAAGGAAAAAAGAAAUGAAAGUUCUGGAUAGUUUAUUAAUAUAUUUAAGGAAAACUAAUGCUAGAGUUUUAUUUUGCCUUAUAGGUUCAGUAAUAAAAAGAUUAACAAAGUUUUCAUAAGAUAAUCUAAUAUUUUUCUAUAGCACUCCCUUUGAUUGGGCCACAGAUUUUGAUUUGACUUGUACACACACACACCUGUAAACAUGUGAUGUUUAUGGGUGGUUAACUAUAUAUUUAACUUUAUAUGUAUAAGUACCUAACCGUACAUUUAAAAAAAAUAUUUACUUAAGAAAGCAUUAUGUGCUAGAUUAUAAUUUUUUUAAAGUGUUGUAUCUCUAUAUUUUUUCUCAGUGUGUAUAUAUUUUACUUUUUAAAUACCAGUAAUAUGGUAAAAUUUCUAAGGCUUAUGUCUCCAUUUGCUUAGGACUUCAUAACUGUAUAUCCUUUAAGGCUAAGUAUUGAUUGACACAAAGAAAGCCCUGGGAACCUAUUAAUGUAUAGUAUUAUACAUGGAUACUGUUGAUAUUCU